rnacentral:rRNA from 1 species
UUCAAAAACAUGUCUUUUUGUUUAUAAUAUAAGGUCUAACCUGCCCACUGAAUUAUUGAAGGGCCGCAGUAUAUUGACUGUGCAAAGGUAGCAUAAUCAUUUGCCUUUUAAUUGGAGGCUGGAAUGAAUGGUUGGAUGAGGUUUAAUCUGUCUCGUUAUUAAAAGUUAAUAAUUUAAUUUUUCAGUUAAAAAGCUGAAAUUUUUUUGGAGGACGAGAAGACCCUAUAGAGCUUUAUAAUUAUUUAAUGAAUUUUAUUUAGAUUAAAAAGUGUUUUUAUUAAAAUAUUAUUUUGUUGGGGUGACAGGAAGAUUAAUAAAACUCUUUUAAUAUUUAAACAUAAAUUAAUGAAUUUUUGAUCCAUUCUUAUUGAGUAGUAGAAUAAGUUACCUUAGGGAUAACAGCGUAAUUUUAUUGGAGAGUUCAUAUCGAUAAUAUAGAUUGCGACCUCGAUGUUGAAUUAAAGAAAUUUUUUAGUGCAGAAGCUAAGAUUAAUAGGUCUGUUCGACCUUUAAAACUUUACAUGAUCUGAGUUCC